GUUCGAUCCUGGCUCAGGAUGAACGCUAGCUACAGGCUUAACACAUGCAAGUCGAGGGGCAGCAUUUUAGUUUGCUUGCAAACUAAAGAUGGCGACCGGCGCACGGGUGAGUAACACGUAUCCAACCUGCCGAUAACUCGGGGAUAGCCUUUCGAAAGAAAGAUUAAUAUCCGAUAGUAUAUUAAAACCGCAUGGUUUUACUAUUAAAGAAUUUCGGUUAUCGAUGGGGAUGCGUUCCAUUAGUUUGUUGGCGGGGUAACGGCCCACCAAGACUACGAUGGAUAGGGGUUCUGAGAGGAAGGUCCCCCACAUUGGAACUGAGACACGGUCCAAACUCCUACGGGAGGCAGCAGUGAGGAAUAUUGGUCAAUGGACGAGAGUCUGAACCAGCCAAGUAGCGUGAAGGAUGACUGCCCUAUGGGUUGUAAACUUCUUUUAUAUGGGAAUAAAGUAUUCCACGUGUGGGAUUUUGUAUGUACCAUAUGAAUAAGGAUCGGCUAACUCCGUGCCAGCAGCCGCGGUAAUACGGAGGAUCCGAGCGUUAUCCGGAUUUAUUGGGUUUAAAGGGAGCGUAGGUGGAUUGUUAAGUCAGUUGUGAAAGUUUGCGGCUCAACCGUAAAAUUGCAGUUGAAACUGGCAGUCUUGAGUACAGUAGAGGUGGGCGGAAUUCGUGGUGUAGCGGUGAAAUGCUUAGAUAUCACGAAGAACUCCGAUUGCGAAGGCAGCUCACUAGACUGCAACUGACACUGAUGCUCGAAAGUGUGGGUAUCAAACAGGAUUAGAUACCCUGGUAGUCCACACAGUAAACGAUGAAUACUCGCUGUUUGCGAUAUACAGUAAGCGGCCAAGCGAAAGCAUUAAGUAUUCCACCUGGGGAGUACGCCGGCAACGGUGAAACUCAAAGGAAUUGACGGGGGCCCGCACAAGCGGAGGAACAUGUGGUUUAAUUCGAUGAUACGCGAGGAACCUUACCCGGGCUUAAAUUGCAUUUGAAUAAUCUGGAAACAGGUUAGCCGCAAGGCAAAUGUGAAGGUGCUGCAUGGUUGUCGUCAGCUCGUGCCGUGAGGUGUCGGCUUAAGUGCCAUAACGAGCGCAACCCUUAUCUUUAGUUACUAACAGGUCAUGCUGAGGACUCUAGAGAGACUGCCGUCGUAAGAUGUGAGGAAGGUGGGGAUGACGUCAAAUCAGCACGGCCCUUACGUCCGGGGCUACACACGUGUUACAAUGGGGGGUACAGAAGGCAGCUACCUGGCGACAGGAUGCUAAUCCCAAAAACCUCUCUCAGUUCGGAUCGAAGUCUGCAACCCGACUUCGUGAAGCUGGAUUCGCUAGUAAUCGCGCAUCAGCCAUGGCGCGGUGAAUACGUUCCCGGGCCUUGUACACACCGCCCGUCAAGCCAUGAAAGCCGGGGGUACCUGAAGUACGUAACCGCAAGGAGCGUCCUAGGGUAAAACUGGUAAUUGGGGCUAAGUCGUAACAAGGUAUCC
rnacentral:rRNA from 1 species